GAUAAGAACAUCACUUCCCAGCCAAGAUUUUGAGUUGUUUUGAUAGUUCUCUGAUCAUUCCCAGAACUGUGAAGGAAUUCUCAGCUUUAAAUCCUCUGAAAAAAAUACAGGUACUCGUAAUCCAAUAUUUGAUUAUUUUAAUGGGGCAUCGAAGGUUUAGGCAGAGUCAUGAAAUCCAAACAAGCAAUUGAAUGUUGCAACCCACUUAAUAAAAUUAGUUCCAGGACACACAAAUCACUCAGUUGGAAGAGAAUCUUCAAGAAGAGGUUAUAAUUAAAGUAAGAGGGUUUCUCAUCAAGACAGAGCCUUAGGACUUUGGCUCUGAGGUAUAUAAGCUUUGCACAUUCUUUGAACCUGUCCUCACUACUUGAAAAGAGAGGGAGAGGGGGAGAUGGAGCUAGAGCCAGAGCCAGAGCAAGAAAGGAAAGGAGGGAGAGAAUUUUAAGGAAACUAUGACGCAUAAGGGAUAAAAAGAAAAAACAUCUGCUGGAUAAUUAGCAAAUUCCUUCACAAAGAGAACAUUUAAAAGUUUAAAGUUUUCGACACCAACUAGACCACACUGUUUCCAAAGUAAUGCUUACUAUUAUUUUCUAUUCUAAAUUCAGUCAGUUCAGGAAAUUCUUUAAAGAGGAAAGUAGGGGAAGAAGUGGAAAGGGGUGCCCUCUUCAGUAACUACCAAUUGAAAUCUCAAUCUGUUGUGAAGUUUUGGUAUCUUGUGUCCCCCACGAGGGGGAAAGAGCCUUAAAUAUCAUUUCCAAGCUGGCUCAAUAUUCGUUUGUCCUCAAUUUGAACCAAAUUAAUUUGAUAUCCAAAUGUGCUACUUUUUAACCAAGUGUUGUGCUAUGCUCAGUCACUCAGUUGUGUCUGACUCCGAAGGCCUUAGGACUGCAGCCUGCCAGGCUCCUCUGUCCAUGGGAUUUCUCAGGCAAGAAUACUGGAGUGGGUUGCCAUUUCUUCCUCCAAGGGAUCUUCCCAACCCAGGGAUCAAACUCAAACCUCCUGUGUCUCCUGCACUGCAGGUGAAUUCUUUACCUGCUGAGUCAUUUGGGAAGCCCAACAAAGCAAGUAAACUAUAUAUUUCAACUUCUUCAGUUGCUGAAGUGGAAAGGGGUGAAUUGUAUUUUUAGCUGAGCAAACAUAAAAGGGAGCUGGAAAUGGUUUGGGUCCCAUAUCCAGUAAGGAAAAUGGAGAACCGGUGGCCAAUCAGUCUACAAAAUUGGCUGAAUUUCAAGAAGAAAAAUGGUGAUGAGAAAGAUUCUGUGGAUCAAGAAAUCAGAUGCGGCACAAGAAUUCAGACAGAGAGGACUAGGUUUCCGCUCCACAGUGUCUGAGAUCUGGGUGGGGAAGACUUAAGCAGCUGGAGGGGGCAUGUCCAGAGAGCCGGGGACUGGAAGCACCUGAUGCUGCUUCCUAUACAUCUGACACCUGGCCUGGGAUGACUGGAAGACUGACUCAGGUGGAACUAUGGAUUGGGACACCUACUCGUGUAAUGUCUCCUUGGAGCUUGAGAGUCCUUACAGCACAGCAGACUUGAUCUUCUUAUUUGGCAGCUUUGGAUACCAGUGAGUAAGGCAGAAGAUAGACACCAAUGGGUUGGCUGACCUUGAGUCAGAUGUUUAUAUUUGUGGCCAGUGAAAAUAGGACUAUGUUUUCAAACUUGGACAUCCGGGCUCACAAGUCUGGGUAUUUCCCAGUGAAAGGAACUAUUUUACAGUAAAAUUCAACCUAGUGGAAAUUUCUGCAGUUGCAAGUUGCAAAGAAGAAAGUUUAUGUUUUCCUUAUAAACACUUACUAAGAAUAAACUUUAUAUAUGAUGAUAAGUAAAAAUUAAAUAAACAGGAAUCAAAUACAUAGGAAUGAAAGCAAUGAGGUUGAAAAGAAGAAGGACGAUUGAAAUGAAAAGGAAAGGAAAGAAAAGGCAUUCUUCAACACCUUUUUUGAGAACUACUAAGACCAAGGAUAGGAAAACUCCCAGGAAAUGCAAACCUUUCAUCCCCCACACUGUGCUGGGUGCUAUGGAAACAAGGUGAAAUGGUGGCCAAGGUGGCAAGCUUAGCAGAUCACUUUCUGGGCAUUCUCACUUAUUAGGUGUUGUUGGAUCACUUAACUGCCUUCAACUUAAAUGCCAUCAAUCUUUACCUUAUUAAUUUUCUGAAGACAUAAAUAAUAAUGUUUGUCUUACACAUAAUAAGAGAAAUUAAAAUUAAAGCUACAAUGAGGUAUAAUUUUCAUCUAUCAGAUUGACAAAGAUCCAAAAGUUUAAUAACAUGUUGUGUUGGUGAUGAUGCAAGCAGAUAGCACUCCCGUACGCUGACACAACUUCUAUGGAAAAUGGCUGACCCAUUGAAACAGCACAGAAACCAGCUGAAACUGGUUUUGCCUCCUUAAAUAGGUUGAUUGAUUAAUCAACACGAGUUAUUUUAGAGAAUAGCACUUCACCUGUGCAAGUUAAAAAGCCAUGUCUCCAGGAUGACCUUGGAACUAAGAACCCCCAGCCCACCUAACUCAAAUAGAAAUGUUGCCACCAGAGCCCUUUGUGAAGCAAGAAAUUGGUCAAUAUGGAAAAUCUGACUUCCAACAUCAGUCCAUACAUCAGUUCAUAGCUUACAUGAACUGAUUCAAGACUAGCCAAUCAGCCUCCAAAUUUGAAACUCCCCAACCUUUUAAAUUUCACCCUGAACUGUGGAUCAUGGAGACAGAUUGGAGUCUGGCCUCCUGUCUCUUUGCUGGUCAACCUCACAAUAAAGCUCUUCAUUUUCUCAAAAGCUGGUGUCAUGGUACUGGCUUCUGUGUCCACAGGGGCAGUGAACCUGCUUUGUAACACUAUCAUAAAUAGAACUGUGGAUCUAUCACAGUUUAAAAUGUACCUCCUCUUUGAUGCAGUAAUGUCACUUCCUAAAAUGUAUCCUCUGGCUGUAUUAAAGUACUUAUAAAAAGACAUAUGUGCAAGGUUACUCACUGCUGCAUUGAAACCACAAAAAAUGAACUUUGUUCAUCAGUAAAGGACUGGCUAAAUAAUGUAUGGAACAUCAAAAAAAUGGGAUACUAUGCACUCAUCAAAAGGAUAAGCAAGUAAUAGAUCAGUGCUUGGAACAGCAUCCAAAAUAUAUUAUGAAGUGAAAAAAAGGCAAAGAUUAUUAUUUUAAAAGAUUUAUUUUGUAUACAUAUGUAAUAUCUCUGGGGACACAUAUAAAGCUUUGAUAACAGUUGUUGAGGGAGGUGAGUAUGUGGGUGCAAAGGUGAGUGGGAGUCUUUCUGGACAUGUGAAUGUUUUUAUACCUUGUAUGUUUCGCACUAUAUACAUAUAUUUCCUAUUCAAAAAUGCAUUUGAAUAAUAAUAAAAAUAAAGUGACAAAGAAAACAUGGUGAAAGGAGCUUUGGUAAUUAAACAUGUAUCUCUGCAUGAAAUGAAGCUCUAUGGCAUAAAGCUGCCUAUCACAAGCACCCCUAAUCAAAAGACUGUUGGAACAGAGUGCUGAUCCAGAAGAAAAAAGAAAUACUGGACUUCCCUGGUGGUCUAGUGGUUAAGAAUCCUGCCGAUGCGGGGGAAACACGUUCGAGCCUUGGUCUGAGA
ensembl:lncRNA